rnacentral:pre_miRNA from 1 species
UGUGGAAUUGCUGGGUCAUAAGGUUUAACAGUGUUUAUGGUUAACAUUUUGAGGAGCUCUCAAACUUUUUCAAAGUGACUGAACUUUUUGUUUCCACCAGCAAU